GAAGGAGUUGGAGCAGAGUGUAGUUUAGAGAAGUGCCGUGGCCGGCUAGAAGACCAAGACCCUAGGAUGUCAUGAUGGCCAAAAAUAAACUGUGUUCAAAAAAAGAUCUGGAUAAAUUCAUGGAGGACUAAUCCAUCAAUGACUACUAGCCAAGAUGCUCAGGGAUGCAACCCCAAACUUCUGAUUACCAGAAGCCAGGAGUGGAAGGAAAAUUCAGAAGUGCUACAACUAUGUCCUGUUGUUCCCUCCCAGAUGCCCUGAGAGACUCCAGAUGCUUCAUUUAUUCCACUUUUUGUGUGAAAGAUUUUACUUCUGUGGGACAGUUAUUGAAUUUUAAUGGAAGAUCAUAUUAAAAAGCAGAGGAACACAGACAUUACUAGACCAAUUCCAAAGGCAAAAGCAAGACAAACAACAUAGUAGAUAAAGAGGCAGUUCUUCUACCUGAUGAAAGUUUCUCAUAACGUAAGCUACGCUGAGCCUCUGUUCAAUGCAACAUACAGAUAGACACUUGAUCUGGAGGACAAACACUUCAUAUUACUGAAGAAUAUGACUUCUCCCUCAUUCCAUAACAUAAAAAAUCACCUACAUAUUCAUUCUGUUGUUGUUCCAAAAUUAUUACUGAAUAGAAAGCCAGGCAAUUUCUAGUCUGCAUAAAUAACAAACAAGAAAAUAGCCUUAAUGUUGCUGCUUUUUUUUUUUUUAAUAGAUUCAUAGAAUUUGAGGCUUGAAGGGACAAUUAGAUCAUGUAGCUAACCUCCAGUAUAUCACAGGCCAGUAAGCAUCAUUAAGUUACCCCUGUACUGAGCCACAUAACUUGUGUUUGUUUGACUAAAGCAUAACUUGUUUGGCUGAAGCGUGUUUUCCAAUCUUGAUUUG